rfam:Simian immunodeficiency virus isolate SIVcpzEK505, complete genome.
GACCAGGGGGAAAGAAAAAAUACAUGAUGAAACACUUAGUAUGGGCAAGCAGGGAGCUGGAAAGAUUCGCGUGUAACCCAGGUC